rnacentral:rRNA from 1 species
UACGUAGGGCGCAAGCGUUGUCCGGAAUUAUUGGGCGUAAAGAGCUCGUAGGCGGUUUGUCGCGUCUGUCGUGAAAGCCCACGGCUUAACUGUGGGUCUGCGGUGGAUACGGGCAGACUAGAGGCAGGUAGGGGAGAAUGGAAUUCCCGGUGUAGCGGUGAAAUGCGCAGAUAUCGGGAGGAACACCUGUGGCGAAGGCGGCCCCCUGGUUGGAUACUGACGCUUAUACGCGAAAGCGUGGGGAGCAAACAGG